rnacentral:rRNA from 1 species
UACGGGGGGGGCAAGCGUUGUUCGGAAUUACUGGGCGUAAAGGGCUCGUAGGUGGCCAACUAAGUCAGACGUGAAAUCCCUCGGCUUAACCGGGGAACUGCGUCUGAUACUGGAUGGCUUGAGUUCGGGAGAGGGAUGCGGAAUUCCAGGUGUAGCGGUGAAAUGCGUAGAUAUCUGGAGGAACACCGGUGGCGAAGGCGGGACUCUGGGCCGAUACUGACGCUGAGGAGCGAAAGCGUGGGGAGCGAACAGG